rnacentral:lncRNA from 1 species
ACAACUAUCGUUGAUCGCUAUACCAAGCAAGUAGAUAUAUAUAUAUUAUAUUGAAAAAUAUAUAGUAGCGUGUCAGUAUAAUUAAUUACAAUUUGUAAGUGCGCGUCGCGGCGCGCUUUUACUAGAGACGCCCAUUGACCGCUCAUGCGAACCAGAGAAAAAUCAACUAUGAAAGGAAAGAAAAGCAUCGAUGAGAGUGUGAACACAAAAGAUAGUGUCGAAUGGGAAAGUAAAUGAAAAUGCGUAUCUUGUGUGUGACAGUGUCAAUUGUAAAUGCGUCCGGCUUUCUAGAAAUUUUGUCUUCAUCUAGGGAUAUUUUUCUAAUCAUCAAAGAUCUCCCUUGAAAUUUUAGAUCUUACAGUUUUCAACAGAAAAUUUAUCAUAAGUUGGUAGCAUAACUAAGUAAAUUUUCCUUAGAUCAAAAAUGUUACUAGGUGUCUAUAAUAAUUUUUGUUUUUUAAACGUUGGUCAAGCCGGACGCACUCCAAGAAGAUGUAGAAGCACAGUACGCGGAUACAAGUACAGCAACUUCAACACCAAAACGAAAUAGAAUUUCCUGCAAUAUAACAGAAUUUAGAUCAAUUAUGGGAAUUCUUUGUAGCUAGAGAUUAUAAAAUAUUCGUAUUCUUCGCUGUUUUUGCGUGUCACGCGUAUUCGUUUGUCCAAGUCGCUUUGAGGUCCGCAUCGUAACGAACAUUCUCGCGAUAAAAAAAGAAAUCUAGGAAUAAGAUGAAAAAAUCAUUAUGGAAUGGGUAAAAACUCUGUUUUUCCGAUUUACGUUAUGUUCAGUGUGUUCACACGUGACCGUAAGAUUUGCGCAUUAGUGAGCCAGGCACAACGGGUGAAAUGGAACUUCUGCUUUCGAGGACUGACUUUUUUAUGUCGUUCUAAAUAAAUAAUAAUUGUAAUGAUAAAGAUAAUGAUAACAAUAAUAUUAAUAGUAAUAUCGAUAACGAUAAUAUUAAAGAAAAAAUAAAUAAAUAAAUAACGAUGUGUGCGUUCGAAUUGCUAAUAAUAAUUAAUAAUAAUAAUAAUACGUAUACCUUAAGGCACGUUUUCACCCAGCGUGUUUGGCCAUGGUAACCUGUUUUCCAUUGUUUGUGAAAAAUUUAUUGCGUCGCGACGUUAUCGAUCUUGAUGACGAUCGAUGUUUAUUAAUUAUUCAAAUGAUUAUCAAUAGUAGAGCCCAUUCGAGGUAAAAAAAGGCCUUCACACUCGAACACCUAGUUACAACGAUCAAUCUCGAUUUUUUCAUUUGCGUUUUGCAGUGGAAACGGGUAUACAAAGUCAUCUAGAGAAAAAUGGAAUCGUAUGAGAAAUUCCCCAAGUUAUUAAAUAUUACGUAUGAAUAAUGAAUAUAUUAACGACAAAGUAAAAAGUGGUUCGAGUGAGAAGGAUCGAUUAGUUAUUAAUUAGCCAAGAAUUGGUUAAGCUGGAGGCCACACUUUAUUUUUGUUUCAUUUCACGGCAAGUAGACCGCCAACCUAAUCGAUAAUAUCAUUAAAAAGAAGUAAUAAUAAUUUGACUAAUUUCGAACCAAACGAAAUACUUCAAAUUACAAAAAAAACGUGUAAUUUCAUUAUUCUCAAUAAUAUAAAUGAUUACUAGAAAUGGAAUUCUAGAUAUAGGGAAUAUUAAGUAUACGAUAUUUUCUAUCGUGAUCACUACUUCCGUUAUCGAUCAUAGGUUGGCAGCCUGCCGGCCAAAAGGUGACGCUUGAUAGCAAAUCGAUAAAUCUCGUGCAAGUAAAUGAAAAGAAAAGCAAAAAAAAAUGGUAAAGAAUAGGGUUCUAACGUCACCGAUUUCGGUGAUAAUUUAGUCAGUGUUAAGUCCACAUUAAUUCAAGAUGGAGGAUCGAUGGUGUGCGCGAUCAUUGAUCGAAUUAUAAAUCAACAGUAGGACAUAUUGUAGAGCGUGAGAAUUUCAAAGAGGUAGUACUACCGUUGUUCCGUUGAUCGUUUUUAAUAGAUUUUAUUGUGCCGUGACCGCAUCGCGUGCUCCUGCUAAACGUUCGUUUCAUUGCUGAAAGUUGCUUCAACGAAUUGUUCUCUUGUUUAAUAACAUGGAAUUCAGUUUCACCUACUGCUAUCUAAAGAUAUUAUGCAUAACUUGGUACGACCACCAGGUGCUUCGAUCAGAUCUGUAACAAAAUGAUGAUCGUGAGGUUCCACGGGACGCGGCCACGCUUAGCUAGGACUAUUUUUCUAAGUUGCAAAGCAUAAUAAAUUAACGAUGUUGCAUUAUCGUUAUUAGAGUAUAUUAUAAUGUACAUUGAUAUUUUAACUAGCCGAGUAACCUUGGUUGCGAUCGUCAGCUAUCGACUAAUCGUGCCGGUUCGCACUUGAGGUCGGUGCACGCGCGCGCACUGCGACGCGCUCAUUAGCCUGAUAUACCUAUCAAUAAAAACUGAAAACGUCGGCGAAUAUAACACGUAAAUGAGGAUUAAAAGAUCAUGAGAUACGAUUUUUUGCGAUUUAAAACACGCCAUUUUGAGUUCCAGCAUCGAUCGAUUGGCGAUCAAGAAAGUACAAUGGAUGCGAAUUAUCUGAGAGAAAAAGGAAUAUCCUAGACGUGCGUACCACGAGGCUGGAACAUUAAUGAGCGUAUGCGUGCGUGAAAUAUAAGAGUGAUUGAAUACGAAUGGGAAAAAGAUAUGAUUGUGGUCUUUGACCAGAGAACAAAGAGAAUUAAAAAUAUGAAUCGUUUUGUCAGUCACCUCACUUAUAUUAUACAAUGUCAUAUUACUAUGCUGCCAUAUGAUAUAAAUAUAUGUCUACAGUAAGGAAUAUAUUA